GAGUUUGAUCAUGGCUCAGGAUGAACGCUGGCGGCGUGCUUAACACAUGCAAGUCGAACGAAGCGCCUUGGACAGAUUCUUCGGAUGAAGUUUUUGGUGACUGAGUGGCGGACGGGUGAGUAACGCGUGGGUAACCUGCCUCAUACAGGGGGAUAACAGCUGGAAACGGCUGCUAAUACCGCAUAAGCGCACAGAAUCGCAUGAUUCAGUGUGAAAAGCCCUGGCAGUAUAGGAUGGUCCCGCGUCUGAUUAGCUGGUUGGUGAGGUAACGGCUCACCAAGGCGACGAUCAGUAGCCGGCUUGAGAGAGUGAACGGCCACAUUGGGACUGAGACACGGCCCAAACUCCUACGGGAGCAGCAGUGGGAAUAUUGCACAAUGGGGAAACCCUGAUGCAGCGACGCCGCGUGAGUGAAGAAGUAUUU
rnacentral:rRNA from 1 species